AAACAGAGUAACUAAGAUAGCAAAACUAAAGACCGAUGGACAACAUCUACCACAAAACUAGGUAUAAACCUGGACAUCAGAACAGAAAAAUUACCAGAACAAAGGCAAGGCCAUAAAUCAGGGGUGAACAAGUAGAAGAAAUAAGUGGAUGAGUAAGAGAAUGAAUGAACAAUGAGUCUGGGCUGGGCUAUGAUCCCAACACUUUGGGAGGCCGAGGAGGGAGGAUUGCUUGAGGCCAGGAGUUUGAGACUAGCCUGGGCAACACAGCAAAAGUGGCUCUACAUAAAUCUUAAAAGAUAAAAGAAAAGAAAAAAGGGGGAAAAAUUAGUCUGAACACUGCAAAAUUGCCCCUAGGCCAGGUACAUGGUGAUGUUGGCUGUAUCCUGGCGUAGUGACAAUUUCUGUUGCUGUAGACAUCCCAGGAAAUUUUCUCCUCCUCUGCUCUUCAGGAAGUUUGACCACUCCACCACACGUGGGGACAUUUCCAAUGUCAAAAAUUAUAACCAACCAUAAAACCUUUUUUAAUCCAAGCAACAACCAUCUC
ensembl:lncRNA novel transcript